UACGUAGGGUGCGAGCGUUGUCCGGAAUUAUUGGGCGUAAAGAGCUUGUAGGCGGUCUGUCGCGUCUGCUGUGAAAAUCCGGGGCUCAACCCCGGACUUGCAGUGGGUACGGGCAGACUAGAGUGUGGUAGGGGAGACUGGAAUUCCUGGUGUAGCGGUGAAAUGCGCAGAUAUCGGGAGGAACACCAAUGGCGAAGGCAGCUCGCUGGGACGGUACUGACGCUGAGACGCGAAAGCGUGGGGAGCAAACAGGG
rnacentral:rRNA from 1 species